GCAUAGCUCAUUUAGUAGGGCCUGAGACUCUUAAUCUCAGGGCCAUGGGUUCGAGACCCAUCUUGGGCA